CCCUUAGAUGUCCUGGGCCGCACGCGUGCUACACUGAUGCAUACAGCGAGUACUUUCCAGCUCCGCGAGGCAGCUGGUAAUCAGCAAUAUGCAUCGUGCUGGGGAUAGAUCUUUGGAAUUAUAGAUCUUGAACGAGGAAUUCCUAGUAAGCGCAAGUCAUUAGCUUGCGCUGAUUAAGUCCCUGCCCUUUGUACACACCGCCCGUCGCUCCUACCGAUUUCGAGUGAUUCGGCGAACCUUUUGGACAGCGUCUGUCCUCGUGUCAGAUGCUGAAAGUCAAGUAAACCAUAUCACUUAGAGGAAGGAGAAGUCGUAACA
rnacentral:rRNA from 1 species